rnacentral:tRNA from 1 species
UGGGUUCGUAGCUCAUUGGGAGAGCGUCCGACUGAAGCUCGGUAGGUAGGGAGUUCGAUUCUCCCCGAGCCCAU